GACAGAGGCCUCAAGCGUUAUUCGGAAUCACUGGGCUUAAAGGGCGCGUAGGCGGGCCGCCAGGUCCGGGGUGAAAGCCUCCAGCUCAACUGGAGAAGUGCCUUGGAUACCGGCGGCCUCGAGGGAGGUAGGGGCGUGCGGAACUUCGGGUGGAGCGGUGAAAUGCGUAGAUAUCCGAAGGAACACCGGUGGCGAAAGCGGCGCGCUGGAUCUCUUCUGACGCUGAGGCGCGAAAGCCAGGGGAGCAAACGGG
rnacentral:rRNA from 1 species